rnacentral:rRNA from 1 species
ACAAAUGCCCUGCUUCCAGGAAAAGCCUCUAAGCAUCAGGUAACAUCAAAUCGUACCCCAAACCGACACAGGUGGUCAGGUAGAGAAUACCAAGGCGCUUGAGAGAACUCGGGUGAAGGAACUAGGCAAAAUGGUGCCGUAACUUCGGGAGAAGGCACGCUGAUAUGUAGGUGAAGCGACUUGCUCGUGGAGCUGAAAUCAGUCGAAGAUACCAGCUGGCUGCAACUGUUUAUUAAAAACACAGCACUGUGCAAACACGAAAGUGGACGUAUACGGUGUGACGCCUGCCCGGUGCCGGAAGGUUAAUUGAUGGGGUUAGCGG